rnacentral:lncRNA from 1 species
AUCACUGCUGCAUCUGUGGCAUAUUUCUUUAUAACAUUUAACUCUGUCCGACCUGGGUGAAACUCACAGCAAGAAGAAAGAAAAGCACUUUGAAGAAAUGGAGUCAAGGGGGAAAAGGAAGACUCCACCCCAUCUAGACUAGAUGUAUGAAUAACAGAAGAUUGGGUUUGUAGUCAUCUUCCUUCAACCCCUCCCCUUGUCCCCAGCUCCAUACAGAGAAAUAACCUUUAAAUGAAUACAAUUUGGGGAAAGUAUAAUACUGUUUGAUUUCAUCAGACUUACCUAGGCAGUGAAUUGUCUUUCCUCCUUUUUACCAUGCUCGUAGGUUAAUAUUGAAUUAGUUGCAUAUGCCCAUAUAAUUUCAGUACAUUGAAGUAAAUCUUUACCAUUAUAAUUAUAUAAGUGCCUUCUAACUAGGUGG